GAUCUGCUCCAUCUUCUCUCUCUCUCUCUCUCUCUCUCUCUCUCUCUCUCUCUCUCUCUCUCUCUCUCACACACACACACACACAACCAACAAUACCUCUCCGUCUUCGUCUUCCGAAUCCCACCAACGCCAAGCCGCCGAUGACUUCCACCAGUCCACACGCUCUUUUCCCUCCAUCACUCUGUCAAUCGUCUCUCUCCGCCAUACCCACCGCCUCUCCCCUCUCUAUUUUGAUUUCGGGUUCUCUCUCUCAUUCGUCCAGGGCAUGAAGUACUUGGAUGAAAAUGAGUGAGUCUGAAAGUGCUUUUGGAGGUUUUAAGAUACCAUACCCACAUCCAAAAUAUGCUCUUUCAAACUCAACUGAGACGACAUGAAAAGACUUUAAGCAAUCAAUCUCGAACCUAUCUUUGGCCUUUGUUUUGUUUGAUUGGAAAUGGUCCUCUUUGAUUCUGUUAAGAGACUCAAUCUUUGUUGGUCAUUACGAUACUUUGUUUGGCAUUUGGUUUUUGGUUAUUUUUGUUUGUUUGGCAUUGAAAUAUGACUAACCUGUAAUGUGGCUAUUUUUCUUCGUAACUUUGGUAUUGUAACCAUCUCUGUAUUUAUUUUCUAUAUCACCGAGUAUAUGUGAAGUCACCAUCUCAUGCUUAUCUAAAAGAAGUCACCUGUUAUAGGAGUUGCCACAUUGUCUCGCAUUAGCAUGGCAGACGAAUUUGGUGAUCUUGAACUAUUGUAAUUUGGAUAGCAUGAGAGACUCAAUAGAGACAGCCGGACAUUUGUUUAUGUUAGCGACAAAGAGUAGUUUUUUCUUCUUCUUUUUUGCCUU